GCACCAUUUUUGGAUGGAAAAAACCCUUCAGGAAAGUAUACGUAUCACAUGUAACAUGUAGUGUAACAAAGUAUGAACAGUAAGGUUUUUACAUACAGUAGUACAUAUUACAUACGUACAUAACUUUUUUUUACAGGAAUUUCCAACCAAGUUUGAUUAUGUACAUAUGUACAUGUUAUAAACCACUGUACGUAUGGUUACUGUAUGUAACUUACUAAACAUACAUAACAUGACUUAACUUUGAUACUUUUUUGGUACAUUCCAGAAAACCAGGAACCCCCUCCAUGAUGCAGGCUAUGGGGCCACAUAAAACUUUGUCCAGGGUUACUACAUAACAUAGCACGACAACUGUAAACUAUGUACUACUGUACUAAAGAACCCCCUGAAUGAUGUAGGCUAUGGGGCCACAUAAGACUUUGUCCAUCCAGGGUUACAUUGAACGACAACUUUAAACUAAAGAACCCCCUGAAUGAUGUAGGCUAUGGGGCCACAUAAGACUUUGUGCAUCCAGGGUUACAUAGCAGGACAACUUUAAACUAAAAAGCUACCAGACUGGGAUUUUAGUGUACUCCAGGAUCUAACAAAGUGUGCAAUGCAUGUGUAUACGUAUAGUGAC